CAUGUGCCGCUUCUGCCUUCUUAAUCUGAAGUUCCUCAAGAUUUUCUCCUACCCUAUUAUUUCCUCUUCACGAGUCACGACUUCAUCGGUUCAUCCGUUUAGUUCAGGCGUCGGCGAGCCACUUCUGCUUCAGUUCAGAAUAUGAAGUUCCUCAAGAGUCAAGCUCUGCUCAAGAACUGUUCUGCUUAUGCCCCUUUAGAGCCGAAGCCUCAAAUUUUCUUCAAUCAAAAUUCCUCCUUUCUCGGUUUCUCCCACAGAUCUGAUUCAAGAGCGAGGACUGCUGACUUCGUCUUGCUUUGGUUCAUUCAACUCGUUUAAGACUGUAAGUUACAUUCUUCAUUCACUUCACAUGGCUGAAAAUGGUAAUACUGAUAAAGUGGCUGAUGAAAGUAGAGGUUCCGAGUCUACGACUGCAACUACUCACUCGACAGUUACAAAACAAAGGAAAAAACGAUCUCGGGCAUGGGAUGUUUUUGAAGAAAAGAUUGAUGCUACAGGAAAUAAUAAAUAUGCAUGUAGAUUUUGUGGACAAGAAUAUUUUGAGACAAAAGGCAAAAGUACGACACAAAUGAAUAAUCAUAUCGAUAAAUGUCCAAAGAAUCCUUAUAAAGUUGAAAAAGGUCAAAAACUAUUACAAUUUCAAACAUUAUCGGGGGGUAAUAAAGGUGGUCUUAUUCCAUAGAAAUUUGAUCAAGAAGAGUGUAGGAUGGCUUUGUGUCGUAUGGUGAUUGUUGAUGAACUUCCAUUUAGUUUUGUUGAGAAGGAAGGCUUUAGAAACUUUAUGAAAAUGGCACAACCUUGUUUUCAUAUUCCUUCCCGUACUACUAUUACACGGGAUUGUUUUGCUCUUUUUAAUGUGGAAAA